GGGCCGGCCAAUGGCACCUUAUAGGCAUCGUCUCUUUUCCGUCAGCGAGAGCCGAGAGCGAGCUCCUUCCCCAUUUUUUCCUCCGGUUCUUCAGCUUACUCCUUUUUCGUAUGAUUCCCGAUCUAUUUCUCGUAGUCUAGCUCAAAUCGCAGCGACAACAUGGUUCUUCUGUCUCUUCCGCCGUCCAGGGUGGCUGCAGAUCUUCGAGACGUUUAGCUGUGUUGGUGUUGUGAUUUUGUCACCAAAUCCUGUAUGUAUUUCAUGUUUCAGUCGCCUGUUUAUUGGGAGACAUUGAUCGGAAGUGGCAGUGAAAGGAGGUGGUGGUAGCAUUGUGUUUCUUCUUUGGGGGAUUCUACUACAUAUGGUUUUGUAGA